rnacentral:rRNA from 1 species
UGGCGGACGGGUGAGUAACACGUAGGUAAUCUACCUUCGGAUGGGGAAUAACAACCGGAAACGGUUGCUAAUACCGCAUAAUGCAGCGGCACCUAAUGGUGACAGUUGUUAAAGCGGGGGAUCGCAAGACCCCGCGUCUGAAGAGGAGCCUGCGGCGGAUUAGCUAGUUGGUAAGGUAAUGGCUUACCAAGGCUAUGACGGGUAGGGGACCUGAGAGGGUGUACCCCCACACUGGAACUGCGACACGGUCCAGACUCCUACGGGAGGCAGCAGUUAGGAAUAUUGGACAAUGGGCGAAAGCCUGAUCCAGCGACGCCGCGUGGAGGAAGAAGGUCUUCGGAUUGUAAACUCCUUUUACUUGGGAAUAAUUUCUGAAUGUACCAAGCGAAUAAGAGGUUGCUAACUCUGUGCCAGCAGCCGCGGUAAU